UCGCUUUGGGAGGGACCUGCGUCCCAUCAGCUAGUUGGUGAGGUAACGGCCCACCAAGGCUACGACGGGUAGGGGACCUGAGAGGGUGACCCCCCACAAUGGAACUGAAACACGGUCCAU
rnacentral:rRNA from 1 species